rnacentral:rRNA from 1 species
GACGAACGCUGGCGGCGUGCUUAACACAUGCAAGUCGAGCGGUAAGGCCCUUUCGGGGGUACACGAGCGGCGAACGGGUGAGUAACACGUGGGUGACCUGCCCUUAGCUCUGGGAUAAGCCUGGGAAACUGGGUCUAAUACCGGAUAUGACUCCAUGACGCAUGUUGUGGGGUGGAAAGCCUUGUGCGGCUAGGGGAUGGGCCCGCGGCCUAUCAGCUUGUUGGUGGGGUGAUGGCCUACCAAGGCGACGACGGGUAGCCGGCCUGAGAGGGCGACCGGCCACACUGGGACUGAGACACGGCCCAGACUCCUACGGGAGGCAGCAGUGGGGAAUCUUGCGCAAUGGGCGAAAGCCUGACGCAGCGACGCCGCGUGAGGGAUGACGGCCUCGG